UAAACUCGACCUUCUGCCUCCUCUCACUCUCGUUCUCCUGGUGUUUUCUGAUUGAUGAAGCAAGCAAGACACCAAGGAUCAGUUCAUGAGCCUGCUGUGCUCUCUCAGCAGGAUAUCAGAAGUCAGCAGAAGAAAAAAGUCAUGGUGGAUCUGAAGCAAGCACACAUUUGGUCACAUGUAGGAGCAAUUAGCAUAACAAUCAGGUCUGUAUACAUGUUUUUAGGCAUAGAUACAUGUACACACAUUUUUAGUCUGUAUACAUUUUGUCUGUGUGUAGAGGUAAAGGGGUGUGUCUGUAUCUGUAUGUCAUUAUUACAAUAUGUUAUUUUCA